GGUGAGAUGGCCGAGUUGGUCCAUGGCGCCAGGUUAAGGUAAAUCUUAACAUCGUUUCCUGGUGGGGAAACCCUCGUGGGUUCAAAUCCCACUCUCAUCA